CGGGCCGUAGCGCAGUCUGGUAGCGCACUUGCAUGGGGUGCAAGGGGUCGUGAGUUCGAAUCUCACCGGCCCGA
rnacentral:tRNA from 1 species